rnacentral:lncRNA from 1 species
UAUUUGAAGUGUCAUAUUGAAGUUACUUUUCCGUUGUCAACUAUAAUCCAAGCAAUUUGGGAGAAAAUAAAUGCAUUUCCUAAAGGGUGUUUCAUGUCUUACCUUCUCUUGUGUUUAUAGACAAUUAUGUAGGAAAUAUAGAAGGAGAAUACUAUGAAUGCUCAAGUUUUAUAUAGGCUAUUUAAGGCCACUUGAGAUGAUUACAAUCAUAAACUAUAUCUCUAUUUAUACUACUAAUAAUGUAAAUCAAAGGUCUUGUACAAAUAACUAAAUACUUGUAUACAAACUCAUAAAAGACUUCUUGAAAAACUAAGAGACAAUAUUGGAAGACUAAAUAUCAAGGUGUGAAUGCAUUAAUUCUAACACUCUCUCUUAAUGCAUUUGUUUGACAACUACAAUGUCUUCUCAAAGAUAGCAAAACUUUUCUCUUGGAAGUGAUUUGGUGAAGAUGUCAGCAAGUUGUUCUCCCGUCUGACAAUAGUUGCAAUUGGAUUUUGCCUUUCUCUUGUGAUUUUGAAUAUCUCCUUCCUGUUGAGUUUGAUUUUGUAAAUCCAUUUUAGACUUGCAACUUCUCUUUCUUUGGGUAUAGUCACACACUCCCAAGUAUUAUUUUUCUCAAUCAUCUGAAUUUCUUCUGCCAUGGACUUCUUCCAAACAUCAUGCUUUAUUGUCUUGUUCAACACCGGCAAGGUUGUAUCUUUGAUAAAUGUCAGUCAACAUUUUUGUUCCUCAUGGAGGUGGUUCUUCAUCAGCUGAAUUUGAGAUUUCUCCCUCUUGAGAGACAUCUUACUCUUCCUCAUCCUCUUCUUGAUUUGACACAUCUAAAGAUAGGAUAGAAAUAUUAUCUACCUUAAUUUCAGUAUGUAUCUCAGGAAGGCCUUGCACCAUGUCUUUUUGCUUGAGAAGCUUCAAACCAUGAAAAUUCAAGUGACAAAAUCUUUUGUGCCAAAGUCAUGAAUCAUCUACAACUUCAUUUUUGAAUGCAUUGUAAUGAAAUUGUAAAGGAAAUUUUCUUUUUAUCAUCUCUACUUCAACAAUGACUUGAUUUGACUCAAUUUUAUCAUAAAUUUUGCAAUAAUUAUCUUUAAACACAAGAGAAUAACCAUUUUCCAUGAAUUGACCAACACUAAGCAAAUUUUCUUCCAAGUCAGGAACAUAAAACACAUCAUGAAUUUGCUUACCGCUCCUUUUAUGUUGAUCGAAAUGGUACCUUUCCCUUUUGCAUGAACUAAGCCUCCAUUUCCCAUUCUCACUUUAGUAGUUAUGCAACUAUCAAUUGAGAGGAAAUCAUUUUCAUCUCCAGUCAUGUGAUUGCUGCAACCACUAUCAACAUAUCAUUUAUUGCUUUUCACUGAAGCAUCAGAUUGAGAAAAAGAAAAGGUUUUCUUCCUUUUCUUCCUCCUGUUCUUCACAAAAACUUGCUUGCUCAUGUUGCUUGUGCCAGCAAUCCUUCUCAAUGUGGCCAAACUUUUUACAAAAGUUACAUUGGAGCUUGCCUUUGUGCCAACUUUUUUUUGCAUUGUGAUUAGUCCUUUUGCAAAUUUUACAAAAAAGACUAAAACUUUUCUCACCUUUUUCUUCAAUCUUAUUAGAAGAACCAUCAUGAUCCUGCUUCUUUUUUGGAUUGUAAUUCUUCUUUUGCUGAUUUUUUGAGAAAUUUUGAGAAUUCUCAUUGGUUUUGGACUGGAAGGCCGUCUCUUUGGGUUGAUCUUCACGAAAAAAUCUUCGCUUCUCGUGUGCACGAAAUGAUUCAACUAGCUCUUUGAUGGAAAGCUUAAUUAGAAAGAUCUUUCGUCUCCUCAGUGAUAACAACAAUAUACUCAUAUUUCUCUGUGACACUAAUUAGAAUAUUUUCCACAACUUGUUGGUCAGAAAUUGUAUCACCAUGAUUUCUCAUUUAAUUUACAAUAUUCAUGACUUUUGUGCAAUAUUCAUCUAUUUUUUCAGAUUCUAUCAUCUUCAAAUUUUGGAACUCUCUUAUAAGAGUUUGAAGAUUUAUAGUGCGUACCUUUUCGUCACCCUACACUUCGGUUUCCAAAGACCUUGUAGUCUCACAAGUAGCAAUUUUUGCAAAAUAUGUUCUUGAGACUCCCAUUUAGAUUUUGCUCAAGGCUUUUGCGUCUUGACGGUACUUAGUCUCAAGAUUUUUCAUCUCUGCUAUUGUAAGUUCACCAUCAUUUUCUAGCUCUUCAUAGCCAUUUACAACAGUAGUCCACAAACCUCCAGCUUUCAAACGCAUUCUCAUUCUUAUCUUCUAGUAAUAUUCAAAAUCAGCUCCAUAAAAAAUGGAGUAAGAACAACUGAAGAAUCUACACCUUCAUUUAUUUUGGAUGUCAUAUUUAUUUCUUCACCUAACCCCAGAUUAAGAACGAAAACCUGCUAUGAUACCAAUUUGUAGGAAAUAUAGAAGGAUAAUACUAUCUUUAGAGAAUGCUCAAGUUUUAUAUAGGCUACUUAAGGACACUUGAGAUGAUUACAAUGAUAAACUACAUCUCUAUUUAUACUACUAAUAAUGUAAAUCAAAGGUCUUGCACAAAUAACUAGAUACAUGUAUCACAAUUUAUUAGAUACAUGUAUUACAAAUUCCUAAAAGACUUCUUGAAAAACUAAGAGACAAUAUUGAAAGACUAAAUAUCAAGGUGUGAAUGCAUUAAUUCCAACAAAUUAAUAUGUUUUGAUGUUAAUAUAUUAAUCCAUAGUAUUAAAGAACUUAGGAGAAGAGGAAAAAUCUACAAAACAAUAUCAGCCCGCUAAAGCCCUCUCAGAUCUCCUCACGACCUCCCAACGAAUGUCGUAAUGGAGGAAAUCAAAAUUUUUGACACCAAAUAAUCAAAAAAGAACAUGCAUGUUUAUGCAGAAUCAAGUAAGAAAAGAUUCAAAGUACAAGAAAAUUUGUAGCAACGAAAAACGUUAUGUACCCAAUGAAAAUAUACGUACACUGUCAAGUUUUAUCUCUAGCUGAACCAUAUGUUGCAUCUGCACCACUAAGUAUUCUGUUAAAGAAAUUAUUUAAAUGUUUGACAUGUUGGCCCAGUGCCUACCUUCUAGUUGUCUUAGAACCUCCUGACUUGUAUUGCCAUAUUUUGGGGCUAAUUUGGUGUUUUCACACCAUUUCUAAAACUUUCAUCUUUUGAAGUUACUAUUGGAUUUAUUUACAUAUCUUAAAUUUCAUGUUUUGUUUUGAAAAAUGAUUUUAGGGUUUGCCAAACGGGUUGGGGUUAGGUGUCAUCACGAUAAGAAAAAUUAUUGGGUCAUGACAUCACCAAUCAUAAGAAAAUUGCAUCAAAUC